rnacentral:lncRNA from 1 species
CUAAUUUUAACAUUGUCUCCAUAGCUUUAUGGUUUAGCAGUUUGGUUUUUCUCUUCUCUUAGGAAUGGUUUCCUCUCUAUUUAUCUUGCUUGUAUUCUGGUGAGUUUCCAAAAUCUGCGAAUAUUAUCUAUCUAUUUACAGUAUGAAAAACUUUGACUACUGUAUUGUUUGUAUUUUGACUGCCCUUUUCUUAUUUUCAUUUUCUUCUAGGACUCCAGUUAUACAUAUAUCAGGAAGCUUAAUACAAUCCCAGAGGUUUUACUUGAAAAAUAGAAUUUUAUUGAUAAAAAAUAGAAAACUUCAAAUCUAUCACAACUCAUCAACAGUCUACUCCUUUUAUGUAUUGGAAGCUUGUCAACUUCUUUUUGAAAAGUUAAAGUUAAGUUAGAGCUAAGACCAUAAACAUAUGAAGACUGUCUGAGAAGACAUGACUGGAAACUGAAUAGGGCUGGGCGUGGUGGCUCACACCUGUAAUCCCAACAAUUUGGGAGGCCGAGGCGGGGGGAUCACCUGAAGUCAAGAGUUCGAGACCAGCCUGGUCAACAUGGAGAAAUCCUGUUUCCACUAAGAAUACAAGAAUUAGCCAGGCGUGGUGGCAGGUGCCUGUAAUCCCAGCUACUCAGGUGGCUGAGGCAGGAGAAUUGCUUCAACCCGGGAGGCAGAGGUUGCAGUGAUCCAAGAUCAUGCCACUGCACUCCAGCCUGGGAGACAGAGAAAGACUCCAUCUCAGGGGAAAAAAAAGAAAAGAAAAGAAAAAGAAAAGAAAACUGAAUAAUACUCUAUUUUUCUACAAUGAAUCUAGAAGAAAAAGAAAAGACCAAAUAUAGGAUUACUUGAAUGAGGUGAGUUUUAAAUGUUUGUGAGGGAUGAUAGGCAUAAAAUUGGUGAAGAAAAAAAAAGUCAGUGUUUUGCUCAGGGUGUUAUUUUAUACCGUGGAGCUUAGCAGGUGAUAAAUCUCAUGUAAGCUCAGCCUAAGUAUCUCUUUUCCCCACCCCCAAAAUGUACCUUAUCAACUAAGUUGAAAAUAAUUCUUAACAUGCUGUUUGCAGCUGGCCAAGCAUAGUCUCUCAUCAGAUUAAAUCAAAUGGAAAACACAAUGAGCUCUGGAAUAUGAAUAGGGCCCAGAGUGUCUGUUUUUUAAUCAUGCUCAAAAUCCAAUUGAACCAACAUGUACUGAUUAAAGUUUCUUUAGGUACCAAGACUUAAAGAAUUUUUUUUUCACCAAAGUUUGAGUUUAUGGCUUCCUGUUCAUGCAGCCUUAGAAAUACUAGCCUUGAUUUUUUGUGAAAUCACAACCAGCUCCCUUCCCAAACAAUGGCCAAAGUAUCAGUUUUAUUUACUUGUGUUUAUCCUAAUAAACUCUAGCCUUUUUACCUCAGUUCAUGGUGGUAACUUGUACAUCAUUUAAUUACUUCUUUUAAAUUUUAAUUUUAUGAUUUUUAUUUUAUAUGGAUGAGGAGGUAGAAAUAUAAAUAGGAAAUAGUUGGGAGAAUAGUCUAUACGUGCCUCCACUAACAUAAAUAAUAAAAUGAUUUUGCCCUUUCUUAGUUCUUCAGAGAUCUCCCUGGCCAUGUCAAUUAAGUUGGCCACUCCAAAAUAAAACUACACUAUUAACCUUUAGAACUACAUUCUAAGGUAGGACAGAAACAGUUUUUAGACAGACAGAAAUCCUGGGAUGAAGGAGAGUUUCAAGUGACAUUUUUCUUAUAAAUAAAUAAAUAUCAGCUAAUGUCUUUUUCAAUAUGGCUGACUAGAUACCGGGAAUGAUCUUCCCCAAUGAGAAGAAAUAAAUGUGUUAAGUGAAACAUAAAAAGGCAUUGCUGAACUGUUAUGGUAAUAAGGAAUCUGCAGAGACACAUUUGUUGGGAAAGUAGGUAAGUGAAUGAAAAUGAGGAAAGUGAUCUCCAAAAUCUACUUUUUUUCCUGGAAUCUUCUUCCAUUUUCUGAGUUCAACUUCAUUGUCCUGUACUAGAGAUCCACUUCACUUCUCGGGAUCCACUCUGAUGGCUUCAUGGAUAACAGAUCAUAAACUCUAGGACUCAUCAAAGGUGAAGUAUAGUAAAAAGUCCCUACAUUAAAAUGUAGACCUCAUCAUUUAACUAUUUAAUAUAUAACAUAAGGUACUGAAU